UAUUAUUAUUAUUAUUAUUAUUAUGUGUGGCUAAAUAAUAGAUCAACAACCUACAGAUUAGGUUCCCGAUAAAACCUAGCAUGAGCAAACUUUGGGAGGCCCCUUUGAAGAGACUGGACAGGCCUGGGCCAAGUUGGGCCCUCCAGGGGUUUUGGACUUCAACUCCUGCUUCAGCUGAGGGAGAAAAGGAAAGGGCCUGAGGUUGUGAGGAAUGGUGGGAGUUGAAGUCCAAAACUCCUGGAGGGCCCAAGUUGGCCCAGGUCUGGUCCAGACUCGGAAAUUCAAGACUCCUCAUAACCUAUUACCAUAGCCAUGUUGUUGUGUGCAGUCUGGGCCAGGCCUGGGCAAACUUCGGCCCUCUGGGUGUUUUGGACUUCAACUCCCACCAUUCCUAACAGCCGGCAGGCUAUUAUGAAUUGUGGGAGUUGAAGUCCAAAACACCUGGAGGGGCAAAGUUUGCCCAUACCUGCCUAAUAAUAAUAAAUAAAUAAAUAAAUAAUAAACCAUAUCCUCAGCUGUUGCAAGAAAAUUGCACAGACAGACUACAAAGACACAACUCUGUGGCCCAAAUGAUUCACUGGAACUUCUGUCACAAGUACUACCUGCCAGCAGCAAAGAAUUGGUGAGAUCAUAAACCCACAAAGGUCAUGGAAAAUGAACAUGCAAAAAUACAGUGGGACUUUCGAAUCCAGACUGACAAAGUUUUGGAACACAACAUGCCAGACAUCACGAUUGUGGAAAAGAAAAAAGUCUGGAUUAUUGAUGUUGCCAUUGAGGAAAAACAAUAGGAAAAACUUAGCCGCUAUCAAGACCUCAAAAUAAAACUGCAAAGGCUCUGGCACAAACCAGUACAGGUGGUCCCAGUGGUCAUUGGUACACUGGGUGCUGUGCCAAAAGAUCUCAGCCGGCAUUUGGAAACAAUAAACAUCGACAAAAUCACGAUCUGUCAACUGCAAAAGGCCACCUUUACUUGGAUCUGCGCGCAUCAUUCAAAAAUAAAUCACACACUCCUAGAUGCUUGGGAAGUGUUCGACUUGUGAUUUUGUGAUACGAAAUCCAGCAUAGAGAUCUCGUUUGCUGUGACAUACUGUGCUUUUGUGUCAAUAAUAAUAAUAAUAAUAAUUUUAUUUUUCUACCCCGCCUCCAUCUCCGCGAAGGGACUCAGGGCAGCUUACAUGGGGCCAUGCCCAGACAACAUACAGUUAAAAACAGAACAACGAAAUAUAAAACAGCAUAAAAACAACUUCAUCAUAAACAAUAAAAGCAAGCAACAUAAGCAACAACAUAAGUACCUCUAAUCUCAUUUUUUGAGGGAAGGGAUCAAUAUGCAAAAUGAGUUAAAAGAUAGGUUGGUCCAAAAAAAGGUGGAUAGAACGAAUUGUAGAAUAGGAAUAGAGCAAUUAUAACAGGAUCAUUACAGCUUAGCUUAAAAAUAUAGCAAUCAAAUAUAGCCUUAGACUGGAGAUGAGGUUCGAACCCCCACGCAGCCAUGAAAACCUGCUAGCUAAUUUGGGGCAAGUCACACUUCUCAGUUUCAGCGGGCAACAAUGGCAAAUCUUGCCAAGAAAACCCAAUGAUAGAUUAGGGAAAGGCCCUUCCACACAGCCCUAUAUCCCAGAGUAUAAAGACAGAAAAUCCCACAUGAUCUGAGUAUGGACUCAGAUAACCCAGUUCAAAGCAGAUAGUGUGGGAUUUUCUGCCUUGAUAUUCUAAGAUAUAGAGCUGUGUGGAAGGGCCCUAAGUGACCAUAAGUAGAAACAACUUGUAGCAGUCAACCCAGUGGCAAGGUGCUUUGCCUUCAUCUGUGGCUGAGAGCGUGCGACACAUCCAAGGUCAUCCAGUGGGGUUCCAUGUCAAGCAAAUAUGUACAGUACAAACCCCCACAUUCAAAAAAGCCAGGGUCUGCCAUUUCAUUUAGCAGUUUUUGACAAAAUAUGCCCCCCCUAUGCAUUUUUGAGGUACUCCUAAGUUGUAUUCUUGGGCCAGACAUCCUUCUUUUCAAAACGGUAUACUAUAUUUGUUGUUCACAUAUCUACGUGAAGACCAGGAGUGUAUCCACGAAUAGGGCUCCACAGCCAUAUACGGACCCACAGGAAUAUUGGAAGACAAUCCUCCUCGGAAAACGAGGGAUCGCCUAAGUAAGUAAGUAAAGUAAGUAAUCCACGAAUAUGAGAAUACUUCUGCACAUAUUUUUCCUUAGGUGCUCCUGUUUGUAUGCAAUGCAAGCAACAUUAGCAGAUGCCUAUAUUACAUUACUAUUCAUAUUUUUUAAGUUAAACUGAAUUGAUUCUGAUCCUGUUAAAUUGCUCUGUUUUCAUGAUAUUUUUACUAUGCUAUUAUACGUUUCUAUCCAUCUUAUUGAACCACUUACCCUUUAAUCAGCUUGCAUAUCGGCCUCCUCCAAAAUUAGUCUGUUGUUGCUUGAUGCUUGUUUAUUAUUGUUAUGCUGUUUUAUGCUAUUUUAAAUUGUAAUUUGUUAUUGUUCUGCUUUUAAUUGUAUGUUGCCUGUGCUUGGCCCCAUGUAAGCCACUCCGAGUCGCCUCAGGGAGAUGGAGGCGGGGUAGAAAAAUAAAGUUCUUCUACUACUACUACUACUACUACUACUACUACUAAGAAAAGUCAUGAAAUAUCUAGGUUUUAAUUUAUAGUAAAUUCAAAGUGAAGAAGCCAAACUCAAGAAGAGUGAUGCAGCUCUUCCAAACUGACUACAAAAACAGCCUGUCUAUGAAUGCUGAAAGUGGUCCUUCAUAAUAUCUGCAACAGUACAUCAUGUAAGUACAUCUCAUAAGAUUUUAGUGGAUAAAGAAGCAACAUAAAUCCAAAUGCAGCAAGAAGUGUCUAUAGAAUUGCAACAUUGCUUGCAUCAACCAUCAAGAAUUAGUCCUAGUGAAGAAAAGAUUAUGAUUUAUAUGUAUUUAUAAUUUUCCCCCCUGUUAUUUCUACUUUUUUUUCAAGAAUAUUUCUUCAGACAACACAUAUGCUAUUAUUCAUUUUUCAUGUUAAGCUGAGAAAAAGUUGCAAGAGUGUUGAAGCCAGAACACAGAUUGCCUAAAGGCUCUCAUAUAAUUUACAUCCAAUGUAAAAUAGCAUAUAUAGUUACACUAUAUCAUCAGGAAAAAAAACAUUGAAAAUCAGACUAACACUUCUCCCCCCUUUCAUUGGCCAUAUAAUUUAAUCUGAAAGUAAUCAUGCGGAAAGUAUUUGUACAGGCUUUGUCUCAAUUGUCAACACUAUUUUUAAGAGAAUGCAAAAAGACUUUGUCAUUCCUUUUAGGUUUGAAAGGCCUAAAAUAUAAUUUGAUAUUGCACUAACCAGAAAAAUAAUACUGUUAAGAAAAAUUGACCUGUUGGUCUUUGGGUUUAGUCGGCUUAUUUCGCCAACAUCUCUUCUCUUAUUCUCUCGCCUCUGUUCUUGUGGGGUUUGUGUGUGUCUGAACAGCCAGCCCUCUUCAGCCCAAUGUCAUGCGAUACCCAAGGAGGGAGCUGGAGACUUCAGCCUGGUUGUUGCUAGACUAAACGUUUGAGGUUACAGGACAUAGUCUAGUUUCACAUAAGCUUCCAAAUUUCAGUGGGACAUGCUGAACCCUGAAAUUGUCAAAUAGUAUAUUAUUUUUGGAGAGAAGGAGGGUGUAUGAGUGUGUGAAUGACCUUCGCAUUUUUAACCCAUCCCAAAGGUCUGACUUCCUGCCCUUGAUCCCAUGAGUUUCUGGAAACUCUAGCAAUUAAUAGUAACAUUUUGUAAAGGGGCAGCUCAAUGUGUGGAAAAGGAAAUUGGAGAGAUGGGUGUUACAUCUAAUUAACAAAGAGGAGGAAAAUGUUUUUGUGCCCUCUUCUGUUUCUUUAUUUAUGAUUUGUAAGGGUUCUAUUUUUGUAACCUUUCUAAUAGCAAGUUUUGGGUGUCUCCCCCCACUUUCCACAUCUUUGCUGGCGGUCCCUUUUGGAGGGUCCAGGAAACUAAACUUCAACUUUCUUGGCCUUUAAAAAAAGAAGGAAUGUUCAGAUUUACAGAUACUUUUACAUCUCACUGAACAGCAAUAGAAUUACUAAAUGUUAUCACUCAGCUUUUGUUCAUUUAUGUUCGUUUACUUUAUUGUACUUAUAACAAAAAAGAUUCUUUUUUAAAAAAUCAGUAGGAUAACUUUUGUAUAUAAUUAAGGUUUGUGCAUGUAUUAUAACUAGAGCCCCAUCCACACUGCCAUAUAAUGUAGCGUGAAGCUGUAUUAUAUUAUCAGAGACUCAUAUAAUGCAAUUAAACUGCACUAUGGCAGGAUAGAUUGGGCCUAGGCUUGUCAGGUCACAAUUAUCCCAGACUCCAAGAUUUCAGGUCCAAAAUGGAUACCAAAGUGGAUACCAAAUGCUGGCAUCCCUUACAGAAAACAACUCAAAUGACUACUGCAGAAAGCAUGAGAAACUGUGAAAUGGCAGGAAGCCAUGCCUACUCAUCAAUGUAGUAUUCAAUAUGCGGCGAAAUCAAGUUUUGCUUUGGGUAUGUGUGUAUGUAUAUGUGUGUGUAUAUAUAUAUAUAUAUUUCAAUGCUUGAUUGGUUGAUUCUGUUGAAGCAGAACCUGUGGAUACUGAGGGCUUGCUGUAUUCAAAAAUAUAAAGGAAUACUCAACCUUCCAACAUGGAGAACAGAAAGAAAAUCCCAGAAUAAGCUUUCAUUGGUUGCAGUCUACUUCAUUCAGAAAGGUCGUUUCCAGAGGUCCAGAAUAGCACAAGUUCAGGACUUCAGAAGAUUGAGAACAGAUCCAGCAGCAGCUGUACUCCUAUUAAAUAUAUCAUAUCUAACCCUUUAAUAAAUUGUAUUUAUUUUAUUAUUGUUGUGUAACUUGUAUCUUUUAGCCAUAUACUGUAUCUCUUUCCUGUAUAAAAUGUAUAAAUUACCUUGUAGAAAUGUAUCAAAAUGCAGCCCGGAGACAGACACCCUCUGAGAUAAUCCCCUGAGAAUAGGAAGGUUGGGCAAAUCCCUCUGGCUAUUUCCCAAGCCAGAUAAUCAUCAGGCUCAUUAUGUACAGAAAGGUGAUUUCCCCUGCCAGCAACAUAAGCCAGAUGUUGGUGUAAUUCACCUGAGGUUGAGAGCCUGGUGCUCCGUCAUGGGAACAGGAGCUUAAAGUGUGAACUUUCAUUAACUCCAUUGUUGACAGCCAAGCCCUUGCUUGCCUAGGACUGGCACCUUUGUCCUCCGAGUCUCACACCUUUAUUUCUGGAGCUCCAUAUCUUUGUUUAACAUGGAACUGAACAAUUGAGCUACUCAAAAAUUCAUUAACAUAUAAUUGGUAUUAUCUCCAAGAUCGCUCCCUCUGCAGCUGAUUGGUUCUUCACUCUGACCAAUCUCCGGCUGCCAUCCUCCCCGACAAGCAAAUCCCUGCCUGGAAGCUGUGAUGUCGAUCAAUCCCAGCAGGGAAAAGAGCCAUCCUCUUUUCUGGCCAAUCAGAGGAGGUGGCGGGAGGUUUGAAUGGCUGUCAGAAUUGUAUAAGAUGUCUUACAUUCCCCGCAUGUUUAUGCUUGUACAUUUUAAAGCAAAUUACUUGUACCUGCAUCCCUUCUGGCUGAAUUGUAAUAAAUCUCUGUGGCUUAUCUUCAA